UACGGAGGGGGUCAGCGUUGUUCGGAAUUACUGGGCGUAAAGCGCGCGUAGGCGGAUUAGAAAGUUGGGGGUGAAAUCCCGGGGCUCAACCUCGGAACUGCCUCCAAAACUGCUAGUCUAGAGUUCGAGAGAGGUGAGUGGAAUUCCGAGUGUAGAGGUGAAAUUCGUAGAUAUUCGGAGGAACACCAGUGGCGAAGGCGGCUCACUGGCUCGAUACUGACGCUGAGGUGCGAAAGUGUGGGGAGCAAACAGG
rnacentral:rRNA from 1 species